AAAAAUGUAUAAAUGCAUAUUUGCAAUAAUCAUGAGACAAGAGUUCGUUAAUGAGUGUUUGUCCUUUGCAACGUUAAUAGCUCGUAUGACGGUAUAAAAUUCAGCAUGCAAAGAGCAAUUCUAAAGAAUAUUUUCAGCAAAAGCCAAAAUAAAAUCACCUUUGUUAUCCUUAAAGAUACCUUAUGAACUAGUGGCAGGGGGAGAUGGUGAAUGCACCGUCACAAUUGCACUAGAUCCAGUUAAGAAUAUGCGGGUUCGAAAUGAC
rnacentral:lncRNA from 1 species